rnacentral:rRNA from 1 species
GUUCUGUCUUCGGCCGAGGGGGGAUUCUGCCUACACGGUAUGAGUCUCGUUCCCUUUGGGUGUGCGGUGUCAAAGCCGUGCACUCUUAACGGUCGGACAAGUCCGUCGGAGUGUGGUUAUUGUUGGAAGGGCAACCGACCAAUGAGGCCACCGUAAUCGUUCGGGGUGCCUUUAAUCGGGUGUCUCGGGCGGCCGACAUAGUUUACUUUGAACAAAUUAGAGUGCUCAAAGCAGGUGACUACCGCCUGAAUAGUACAGCAUGGAAUGAUGAAAGAGGACCUCGGUCUGAUUUUGCUGGUCUUUAACGGUCGGGCUUCGGCCCGGCCUAUGCAGACCCGAGGUAAUGGUCAAUAGAGACGGACGGGGGCAUCCGUACUGCGGCGACAGAGGUGAAAUUCUUGGACCGCCGCAAGACGAACGACAGCGAAGGCAUUUGCCAAGAAUGUUUUCCUUGAUCAAGAACGAAAGUUAGAGGUUCGAAGGCGAUCAGAUACCGCCCUAGUUCUAACCAUAAACGAUGCCAACUAGCGAUCCGCCGGUGUUACUCCCAUGACUCGGCGGGCAGCUUCCGGGAAACCAAAGUCUUUGGGUUCCGGGGGAAGUAUGGUUGCAAAGCUGAAACUUAAAGGAAUUGACGGAAGGGCACCACCAGGAGUGGAGCCUGCGGCUUAAUUUGACCCAACACGGGAAACCUCACCAGGCCCGGACACUGGAAGGAUUGACAGAUUGAGAGCUCUUUCUUGAUUCGGUGGGUGGUGGUGCAUGGCCGUUCUUAGUUGGUGGAGCGAUUUGUCUGGUUAAUUCCGAUAACGAACGAGACUCUUGCCUGCUAAAUAGGUGCCGGGUUUUUACAUCUCCUCGCAGGGGGAGAGUGGAGUGUGUGGUUGUCGGGAUCCUGGGCUGUGGUGGUCGUUUAGGCUGCGGGGGGCAACUCUCGUGGUCUGGGCGGCUGUCAUAGUUCACCCGGUGUACGCACACUUCGCGUCCGGCAUUUUUCUUCUUAGAGGGACAAGCGGCGUCCAGCCGCGUGACAGUGAGCAAUAACAGGUCUGUGAUGCCCUUAGAUGUCCUGGGCCGCACGCGCGCUACACUGAAGGAAUCAGCGUGUUAUUCAUCCCUGUCUGAAAAGACCGGGCAACCGCUGAACCUCCUUCGUGGUUGGGAUUGGGGACUGCAAUGAUCCCCAUGAACCAGGAAUCCCUAGUAGGCGCGGGUCACUAGCCCGCGUCGAUUACGUCCCUGCCCUUUGUACACACCGCCCGUCGCUACUACCGAUUGAAUGAUUUAGUGAGAACUUCAGACGGCUAUGUUUGUCCGGGGCAACCCGCGUCGAGCAGGGCUGAAAGAUGUUCAAACUUGAUCCUUUAGAGGAAGUAGAAGUCGUAACAAGGUU